ensembl:lncRNA
ACCCCAGUCAACAGUCUUUUCCUCCAGUGCUGGGAAGAAAAGGUUAAAAGGGGCCGUCUUUCAAGCGCUCUUCAUCGUCUGUGCACCUGCAUAAUUUAUGGGCUUGUUACUGUAAUCAAAAAUUCUUAUUUAUUUGGAGGGGUUGUUGGGGUAGAGGCAAGAGGGAAGAAGGAAAAAAGAACACACACACACACACAUAUAGAUACACACACCCACACACACACAACUUCCCUGUAAGUCUCUUGCUUUUCAUGUGAAACGAGAUGCCGCUGUGUUGUCCCCAGGGUGGGGUUCUACAGCACACUCCAACGCACACACACACACACACACACACACACACAAACAAAAAAAAAACACGCUCACACAUAAACUUAUUGAAGUCUGAGCACAAACACACACACACACACACAUCAUGCAUAUUAAAAUUCUCCAACUUUAUGAUGGAUGUACGCUGCCAGUAUGCUGCCUGUCCCCCGGGGUGAGGUCCAACCACACACACAAACCCACAUACACCAACAUAAAGCAAACUUAAUGAUUAGUCUUCGUACGGUGCCACACACACAAGUAGAGUCAAAGCCUCCUGCAUAACAAGAACCACAAUCUGCAUAGUGAACAUACUUUCUCAAAGUUGGGCAGCUUGAUCAGGACGUGAUGCUGCUCUUACUGUUGCAAGCACAGGCAUGUGAAGGAAGCUUCUACUCAUAAUGAACAAACACUCAUCCGUUCCAACAGUUCAUGUGUUGAAUGAUUCUCAGUGAGAAUGUUUAUCUGGAAUAGCUCGGAGUGUGUGCGGUCUCAAGGAAGCAGGCCUGUCGAUCCACUCUGUGUCCUUAAGGAGUCUACUUGACCAACUAAAAUCUUAUGUGGUUACAGUUCUUACAGCAAGCAAUCUGUCAUUAUGGCAAAGAAGACUGUAUAAAGGGACUGGACUGUUCUCCUUAUUCUUUUAAUUUGGAUGAAUGUGCGUGUGUGCAUGUGUGUGUGUGUGUGUGUGUGUAUGAGAGUGCAGUGUACACAUGUGUGCGUGUUUACGAACGUUUCUACUCAAAUUGCUGCAGCUGAUCCCGGUGAUGAGCAAAUAGAUGGGCUUGCACCACUGGAAUCUUGCGUAACACCACAGAAGAAAUUUUCUCCUACAGCCACAGCCACAGGACUGCUAAUUUGUGGAAACGGCCAUCAGUUCCCGAAACUGCUGGCCCCAAACCUCCUGCGCUGAGGCAGUGCAAAGUGGAUGAAGACGGGAAAUUCUCAUCUGUUUGAUGGAUAAUUUGAAAAGAGCAUUUAAGAUUGAAGGAGAGAGGGAAUGAAAUAUUGCUUGCCCUCCAUUCUGAAUCCCAUUGCUCCAUUGCUUUAAGAAUUUGGUGUGUGUGUGUGUGUGUGUGUGUGUGUGUGUGUGUGUGUGUGUGUGUGUGUGCCUUUGAAACUCAAAAGCUUUAUACACGAACAAAGGCAAAACCAUCUGAAGUUCCACAAUAGAAUCCUUUAUUGUGAUUUUUUUUUCUUUUGCACAUACACACAGACACAUACUUUCAUAUAUUUUCACACAUGCAGACACAAACAGACUCACAAACACACUCACACAUACAUAUCAAUCCCCUAGCUUCCUGCAGUGACACACCUCCUCAGCAUCCUCCACUCCACCUUACCAGCCUACACUUCCACUCAUAUUCUGUUCCAAACCCCAUGGGGUUCUUUCUCCCCCUCUCUAAUGAAGGGGUGCGGCUGUGGUGUCUAUGGAACGUCAGGAAUGCCCUAUUCAGCUAGUGGUGUCCCACAGGGCUUGAUGACGGAGCUCUGGCGGAACGAAAAAGGACAAGGACAUUGCUGCUGACAGGGUAUGAGUGUGCAAGUGAGAGUGUCCAGUCCUCCUCUGUGUAACACAGCACGGUCUCUUAAUCCUGCAUAUCUGUGUAUUUGUGUGGGAUGUAUACUCUGGGCUGGGAUGGUAGAGGUUAAUGUAUUUAGGUCCCCUUCACUCUAGCAUGGCACCAGCAUGGGGUGGUAAUUGAUUCUCUGUGUGCCAUUAGUCUUUGAGACAGAGAUGCGCCAACGAGGGAGGGUGCUGUCACUUAGAACCUGGCAACGUGCCCAGCGCAUACACAUACCAAUAAACACAUGCGCAUACGCAAAGUAAGAAACACACCCACACUGUUAGCGUCGGCCAUCAAGGUCUAGCGUGUGAAGGGCAAACUAUUAACAUAUAUGCAAAACAUGCAUACACAUUAAACUAAAGGACCCAUACACUAAUGUUAACACAUAUCUACAACACACAGCAGACAAAGUCCAGCGCUUCUCUUGAUCGUAUUAGUGCUAACGAGAAGCUGCGGCACAGCCUGUAUGCUAAUGCUAAUCUGACAAGCCCGCCUAAGGCAGAGACAGGAGUCAGGCGCCAUCACACACUCAUCAUCACCUGGUGUCUCUUGCCAUCCCUCGACCUCAUUAGCACCAUUCCUCUCUUUAUCAUUAGCACGACUUCUUGGAGUUGAUGGAACAUCAGUGUCAUUAGAGGCACG